rfam:Vibrio proteolyticus NBRC 13287 DNA, contig: VPR01S01.
CUGAACUGGUGGCGCACCUGGACAAGUUCUUGGUGGGCUAACGUGUACUUUUAAUUCAGUCGAAUAUUGUCACUAAGCCCGCGCCAAAGCGGGCUUUUUUAU